CAACGAAUAUUCCGCAAUGGGCGCAAGCCUGACGGAGCGACGCCGCGUGGAGGAUGAAGUCCUUCGGGAUGUAAACUUCGAUAGUUUGUCAGGAAGUGAGGCGACCUAAUACGUCGCCGAUUUGACCAGCAGACGAAAGGGACGGCUAACUCCGUGCCAGCAGCCGCGGUAAGACGGAGGUCCCUAGCGUUGUUCGGAAUCACUGGACUUAAAGCGCGUGUAGGCGGAACGGUGAGUACCUUGUGAAAUCCCCGGUCUCAAGCCGGGAACUGCUCGGUAUACUAUCGUUCUUGAGGUAGGUAGGGGUCACUGGAACCUUAGGUGGAGCGGUGAAAUGCGUAGAUAUCUAAGGGAACGCCUGUGGCGAAAGCGGGUGACUGGGCCUAUCCUGACGCUGAGACGCGAAAGCGUAGGGAGCAAACG
rnacentral:rRNA from 1 species